ACAAACGCUGGCGGCAUGCCUAACACAUGCCAGUCGAACGGACAGAACAGGGAAGCUUUUCGGAGUGGAACUGGAAAGUUAGUGGCGGAUGGGUGAGUAACGCGUGGACAACCUACCUUGUAAAGGGGAAUAACCUCGAGAAAUCGAAGCUAAUACCCCAUAAUAACCUUGCUUCGCAUGAAGUAAGGAGGAAAGGCGGCCUUAGCGCUGUCGAUACAAGAUGGGUCCGCGUCUGAUUAGCUAGUUGGUGAGGUAAAGGCUCACCAAGGCGACGAUCAGUAGCCGGCCUGAGAGGGUGAACGGCCACAUUGGGACUGAGACACGGCCCAAACUCCUACGGGAGGCAGCAGUGGGGAAUCUUCCGCAAUGGGCGAAAGCCUGACGGAGCAAUGCCGCGUGAGUGAAGAAGGCCUUCGGGUUGUAAAACUCUGUCCUUAUCGAAGAGAGAGUGUUGUAGUAACUGACAAUACUAGGACGGUAGAUGAGGAGGAAGCCCCGGCUAACUAUGUG
rnacentral:rRNA from 1 species